rnacentral:rRNA from 1 species
UACGGAGGGUGCAAGCGUUGUCCGGAAUCAUUGGGCGUAAAGGGCGCGUAGGCGGCUCAUGAAGGCUGUGGUGAAAGUCCGGGGCUCAACCUCGGAUCGGCCGUGGCGACUCGUGGGCUGGAGCACUGUAGAGGCGGGUGGAAUUCCGGGUGUAGCGGUGGAAUGCGUAGAGAGCCGGAAGAACACCAGUGGCGAAGGCGGCCCGCUGGGCAGUGGCUGACGCUGAGGCGCGACAGCGUGGGGAGCAAACAGG